GACGAACGCUGACGGUGUGCUUUAGACAUGCAAGUCGAACGAGAAAGCCCUUCGGGUUAGUAAAGUGGCGAACGGGUGAGUAACACGUGGGCAAUCUGCCCCUCGCAGGGGGACAACCGGAGGAAACUCCGGCUAAUACCCCGUAAGUUCAAAGGGAGGCAUCUCUCUUCGAAGAAAGGUAGCUUCGGCCAUCCGGCGAGGGAUGAGCCCGCGGUGCAUUAGCUAGUUGGUGGGGUAACGCCUACCAAGGCGACGAUGCAUAGCUGGUCUGAGAGGAUGAUCAGCCACACUGGGACUGAGACACGGCCCAGACUCCUACGGGAGGCAGCAGUCGGGAAUCUUGCGCAAUGGGCGAAAGCCUGACGCAGCAAC
rnacentral:rRNA from 1 species